rnacentral:lncRNA from 1 species
AGUGCGCAGGCGCGCGGCCGCCGCCGGGGAGGGGGUUCCCAGGGCGCGCGGCCCGGACCCCCGAGUCCGUGCUCUCCGACCCUCCUGUCACCCCGGGACACCGUGUGGGGGGCGCCCAGAGCCCCGGCCGCCGGGAGGAGGAGGAGGCGGCGCCCGGGGACUGGCCUAGCGCGGGUGCGGUCGGCGGGCGGGGCGGGAGGGCCCGACCCGUGGCUCUGCGGAUUUCAAAGGCGCGGGGUCACACGCCCAGCAGCCGAUCAGCCCCGGCAUUUGGCGACGCAGCAAAUCCAGCCCUGCGGGGAGGGGGCCCUGUCCCUGGGCCGGCCCCAUGCCCAGGCUGCAGGGCCUCGCCCGCCCCCAGCCGCAUCUCCCUGCCCCUGGCGCCUCCCAGGACCUGUGACAGUCCGGGGGGCUUGACCGGGGCUGCCCUGGCUUCAGCCUUCUCAUCUGCACAGUGGAAACUCAGGAAAACACCGCCUGUGUGAGCCUCCUGGAGCUGUGCAAUGAAUCACACACGUGCAGUGGCUUGAAACGACCCACAUCGAUUCUCUCACGGUUCUGGAGGUCAGAAACCCGACAUGGGGGCCUCACUGGGCUAACAUCAAGGUGUGCGCAGGGCUGGUCCCUCCUGGGGGCUCCAGGGGAGAAUCCAGUUCCUGCCUUUCCCAGCGUUUAGAGGCGCCCACAUCCUUCAGCUUGGGCCCCUUCCCACUCACAGCCAAGAGCAGCCUCUUCCGGUCUCUGACUCUCACCCGGCUGCCUCCUCUCAUGAGGACCCUGUGAGGACACUGGGCUCCCCGAUCAUCCAGGGUGAUCUCCCAUCUCAAAAUCCUAACCCAGUCCCACCUGCAGAGUGCCUUGCGCCUUGGAAGUUUCCCUGGCCAUGCCCUUCCCAGGAUGUGCACCCUGAAAAACACCCUGAAAAGGCCUUGUGGCCGGGCGCGGUGGCUCACGCCUGUAAUCCCAGCACUUUGGGAGGCUGAGGUGGGCGGAUUUUCUGAGGUGGAAGUUCAAGACCAGCCUGGCCAACAUGGUGAAACCCCGUCUCUACUAAAUAGUAAAUACAAAAAUUAGCCGGGGGUGGUGACAUGCACCUGUAAUCCCAGCUACUUGGGAAGUUGAGGCGGGACAAUUGCUUGAACCUGGGAGGCGGAGGUUGCAGUGAGCAGAGAUCCUGCCACUGCACUCCAGACUGGGCGAAAGAGCGAGACUCCAUCUCAAAAAAACACAAAAAAACAACAAAAAAACUAAGGCCUUGUUGGGAGACAGAUCAGCUGGGACCAGGGCACAGGGCACCAGGCUCCCAGUGGUUCUCUGAGAGUCAUCUGGGUGUCUUCUGGGCUCCACCCCCUGGUAAUAGGAGGAGGAGAGGACGCCAGGAGAUCAGCGGAGUGCUUUGUUCACGGUCACUGGGGCAGGGCGGUGGCCUUUGGCCAUCUCCUGGGCCAGCCCUGCCCCACACUUCCUUGGGGACUGUGCAGGGGCUGAACCCCAGGGAGGUGGGGCAUGCACGCUGCUCCUGAUGCCACUCCGUCAGAGCAGCGUGGAUGGCCCCAUGGCUGCCCCGGGCUCCUGGCCAGACACCCACAGCCCGGGCAGGUAGGGACGCUUGCGGCCACUUACAUCAGAUAUUCCUGCCUCGUGGCCCCAUGGCCAGAGCUCUCAGCCCCGCAGGGGUCCUGAAAUGACCCUGCCCACGGCCCUUCAUAGCAAGGGAUGGCCCUUGGGCCGUGGUUCUGGUCCCUGGAGAGCCAAGCAGGUGGGAACUGUGAGGUGGUCUCUCGUGCCACCCACUACACUUGCAAGUGUGUACAGGCGUGCACAGCCCACCCCCACCUUUCACUCCCACAUGGGCCCAUGGCUGACCCUGCAAGGACCUAGGCUUGGGGCCUCCCCCAGGGACGCCUGCCUCCGCGGGCACACAGACACACGCCCCGAUCUGCUCACACUCGUACCCACACCAAGUUUUUUUUUUUUUAUGUUGUAGGG